rnacentral:rRNA from 1 species
UACGCAGGUGGCGAGCGUUGUCCGGAUUUACUGGGCGUAAAGGGAGCGUAGGCGGACCUUUAAGUGAGAUGUGAAAUACCCGAGCUCAACUUGGGUGCUGCAUUUCAAACUGGAGGUCUAGAGUGUCGGAGAGGUAAGUGGAAUUCCUAGUGUAGCGGUGAAAUGCGUAGAGAUUAGGAAGAACCCCGGUGGCGAAGGCGACUUACUGGACGAUAACUGACGCUGAGGCUCGAAAGCGUGGGGAGCAAACAGGAUUAGAUACCCUGGUAGUCCCU